AGCGAACGCUGGCGGCAGGCCUAACACAUGCAAGUCGAACGGUAACGCGGGGCAACCUGGCGACGAGUGGCGAACGGGUGAGUAAUGUAUCGGAACGUGCCCAGUUGUGGGGGAUAACUGCUCGAAAGAGCAGCUAAUACCGCAUACGACCUGAGGGUGAAAGCGGGGGAUCGCAAGACCUCGCGCAAUUGGAGCGGCCGAUAUCAGAUUAGGUAGUUGGUGAGGUAAAGGCUCACCAAGCCGACGAUCUGUAGCUGGUCUGAGAGGACGACCAGCCACACUGGGACUGAGACACGGCCCAGGCUCCUACGGGAGGCAGCAGUGGGGAAUUUUGGACAAUGGACGCAAGUCUGAUCCAGCCAUGCCGCGUGCGGGAAGAAGGCCUUCGGGUUGUAAACCGCUUUUGUCAGGGAAGAAACGCUCUGGGUUAAUACCCCGGGGUAAUGACGGUACCUGAAGAAUAAGCACCGGCUAACUACGUGCCAGCAGCCGCAGUAAGAC
rnacentral:rRNA from 1 species